AAGGAACUCAACAAAAUAGCCUUGUAACUUCGAGAGGUGCCUCCUCAUAAAGGGGUUGCAGUAACUAGGCCUGGGCAACUAUUUACCAAAAACACAAGUCUCUGUAAAGUUGUUAGACCAUGUAUGGGGGUUGACGCUUUCCCAGUGCCGAAAGGUCAAGGAAGUUGGUGAACUGACGAUAGGGGAGCCAACAACCAAAGCCCUGGUGAACGACGACCGUAACUAUAAUGGUCCUAAGGUAGCGAAAUUCCUUGUUAGGUAAGUUUCAACCCACACGAAAGGUGUAACGAUCUCUACCUA
rfam:Gossypium arboreum cultivar AKA8401 contig_101334_1, whole genome shotgun sequence.